GCCGGUGUGAUGGAAUGGUAGACGUGACGGACUCAAAAUCCGUUGGUAGCAAUACCGUGUGGGUUCAAGUCCCACCACCGGCACCA
rnacentral:tRNA from 2 species